AUACAUCCAAGUCGAGCGAAGUUUUUUGGUGCUUGCACUAGAAAAACUUAGCGGCGAACGGGUGAGUAACACGUAAAGAACCUGCCUCAUAGACUGGGACAACUAUUGGAAACGAUAGCUAAUACCGGAUAACAGCAUUAACUGCAUGGUUGAUGUUUGAAAGUUGGUUUUGCUAACACUAUGAGAUGGCUUUGCGGUGCAUUAGCUAGUUGGUGGGGUAAAGGCCUACCAAGGCGACGAUGCAUAGCCGACCUGAGAGGGUGAUCGGCCACACUGGGAUUGAGACACGGCCCAGACUCCUACGGGAGGCAGCAGUAGGGAAUCUUCCGCAAUGGGCGAAAGCCUGACGGAGCAACGCCGCGUGAGUGAAGAAGGAUUUCGGUUCGUAAAGCUCUGUUGUUAGGGAAGAAAUGA
rnacentral:rRNA from 1 species